UACAGAGGGGGCAAGCGUUGUUCGGAAUUACUGGGCGUAAAGGGCGCGUAGGCGGCCCGCUAAGUCGAACGUGAAAUCCCCGAGCUCAACGCGGGAACUGCGUCUGAUACUGGAUGGCUUGAAUCCGGGAGAGGGAUGCAGAAUUCCAGGUGUAGCGGUGAAAUGCGUAGAUAUCUGGAGGAAUACCGGUGGCGAAGGCGGCAUCCUGGACCGGCAUUGACGCUGAGGAGCGAAAGCCAGGGGAGCAAACGGG
rnacentral:rRNA from 1 species